GAAAUCUAGAACUGUAAGCCAAAGAAACCGUUUCCUCUCUAAGUGGCUUCGGUCAAGCCGUUUCAUCACAGCAACAGAAGAAGCUAGAUCACGGUCUAUGAAAGCAGGACUAGAGGGAGGUGAGAACCAGACCAGGGUCUUUCUCUGAGCCUGGAAGUCAUUGACUUGGUUAGUCCGCUGGUCAGUGAGCUCUGGGGAUAUGCUUGUCUUCUGUUCCUCAGCAUUACAGCCAUUACAGAAGCACGCCUUCAGCGAGCACUCUCUUAGGCUAUUAUCACGUUGCCAAAAACCCUUAGACAUUGAAGAUGGAAUGGAAGCCUCUCUCAUCACUUCAAAGGUAGGUGUUUUAUCGCCCACGUUAUAAAUGAGGAGGCAGAAGCACAGAGAUGUCAGGACACUUCGAUGGAUGCCAAGCUUGUGACUGGCAAGGCUGAGGAGCCUGCCAAGGUCAAUGAGAAGAAGACACAAAGGAACAGAUCAAGAGCCAAUUCUUGACAGUUGAGUUUUCUAAAUAGGUUCAAAAACUCGUA